GAUGGCUGAGUUUGGGGAAGACCUCUCUGGCUCAGCAUCUGCUUUGCAUGCAGAAGGUCCCAGGUUUGAUCCCUGGCUUCUCCA